AAACCGUAACAGCCAGAGCUAGAGACUCCGGCCUGGGGUUCUGGCUCUGUCCCGUAUCAGCUAGGAAACCCAGGGCAAGCUACUUAAACUCUCAGAGGCUCAGCUUUUUCAUGAGCAAACAGGAAAACAGGGCUAAUGAUUAGUCCUUGGCUUAAAAUACAUACCGCGUGUGAAAUUGCAGGUAUAUAAUAGAUUCACUAAAUGAGAGCACAAAUAAUGUAUGUUUUCUGAACCAUCUGAGGGCGAGUUAUCAACACUUACUCUCCAAUGCGUCAUCACCCCCAACACUCCUGUGUAUUUCCUGCAAAUAAGGAUCUUCUCCUACAUGGUCAGUCCGAACAACCUUCAGUCACAACUGAGAAGGUCACAUGGUGCAUCACUGCCGCUCAGUCUCCCCAAGCCCAGUGAUUUCUUCACAAUUAGGGAUCUGAGACCCGCAGUAUGGCAGUGACAAGAUCCAAGUCUUGGGACACCUAGCCAGGAGGGAAGAAUUUGAGGGAGAGGUGGAAAAUAUGCGAGGCUGAACUGACCUUCAAGGACAAGAAGGCUGUGUUCAGAUAGACAGAGUUUGUCUUCUGGGAGAGGAGUGGGCUUAUCCAGGAUGAUCCCAAAGGCAGAUUGAGGACCAGUGGGAGGACAUCCUGAGAAAGCAGAUCCAGCUUUAGGCAAGGAAGGACUUCGUAACAGGCAGAGAGCCCAUGUUGGAAACAAGCAGCUCUGCAAGGUGUGGGCCCACUGUCUGACUCCCUGCGGGGCUGCUGCCUUGGAAGAGCCUCCUGCUUAGAGAGGUUCUCCUGCCGCCAGCUGUCUCUCCUGAGUCCUGAGCACCACAUCUCUGGACCGUCUGGAGCCUCCCCUCCCUUGGCUUACUGCUCCCACCACCCUCUCUCUCCACCUUGCAAGAGACACUCUCCCUCAUCCUGGGUCAUCACCCUCUUUAGAGGCGCCGCCUGGCCACGAGGUUGGAUAUGGGGGGUGGGCAGGAUCUUGGCCUUACUUGAUGCAGUGCACACCUCCAACAGGCAUCAGAUGGAGUGCAGCCGGGAGCAAGAUUCUCAUAGCAAUUACAAAGAUUCACAAGAAAAUGUGCCCUCCACUACACAGCUGUAAUUUACAUGCUUUCAAACUUGAUAUGGAAUGACUGUGGUUUCCCCUGAAAGAAGCAUCACUGAUCUCUGCACAGGAGAAACAAGGGUGUGUUAGGAGUUACAUCCACUAACCUCUGGGGCUAGAAUGUUCCUCCUAAUCCCGGAUUACCAGCUUACAACCCCAAUGCCCACUUUCUCAAACAAGCCUCGUCUUUUUAAAGAAGCCAAAUAUGGUGAUAGAGACUCUCAUCAAGGACACUGAGUAAACCAGAAACCUGCUUGGGCUCACGUUCCUUGUCUCUUCUUCUCAGAUCCAGGAAAGGAGCUGUCCAGGACAAUGAGGAUAGGCUGAGGAAAGACAGGCCACGGCCUUGCCUCUGUGCCAGCUCUCAUGGGCCAGGCAGAGUAUCCCAGGACAACUGCCUCCACAACCAGCUCCAUCCUUCAUCAGCAAUUCAGUACCUGAUUAACAAAUCUGUACCCCAGGAGGUUAUGCCAAGUCCAACUUCUUCCAGAGACCACAACAAUAAAUCCAAGCCACUGCUAAUGUCAUUUAUAAGCUGUGGGAUUAAAACAGAGAAGCAAUCAAUUAAUUAAA
rnacentral:lncRNA from 1 species